AGAACCAGGCUCUGGAGGUCAGCCAGGACCUCAGGGUUUCCCCGGACCCAGAGGAGAUCCAGGUUUACCAGGAACAACAAAUGCUGGCUUACAUGGGCCUCCAGGAAGAGAUGGUUUUCCAGGUUUGCCAGGAGCUAAGGGAGAACCCGGUGUGGUCCUUGGGGCCACCCCUGGAGGUCCAGGUUCUCCAGGGAGACCAGGAGAACCAGGAGACAAGGGUCAACCUGGUGCACCUGGAUUAUCAGGGAGGCUUGGUAAUGAUGGACGCAACGGUUUUCCUGGCAUAAAGGGAGAACGAGGUGUGGAUGGAAUACCUGGUCCCAUAGGUCCCAUAGGUCCACCAGGAGAAAUCCCUCCCGGGG